ensembl:lncRNA
GUACCGGUACAGAGUCAAUGUGGAGACUAUAUACAGGGGGUACCGGUACAGAGUUAAUGUGGAGGCUAUAUACAGGGGGUACCGGUACAGAGUCAGUGUGGAGGCUAUAUACAGGGGGUACCGGUACAGAGUCAGUGUGGAGGCUAUAUACAGGGGGUACCGGUACAGAGUCAAUGUGGAGGCUAUAUACAGGGGGUACCGGUACAGAGUCAGUGUGGAGGCUAUAUACAGGGGGUACGGGUACAGAGUCAGUGUGGAGGCUAUAUACAGGGGGUACCGGUACAGAGUCAGUGUGGAGGCUAUAUACAGGGGGUACCGGUACAGAGUCAGUGUGGAGGCUAUAUACAGGGGGGGUACCGGUACAGAGUCAAUGUGGAGGCUAUAUACAGGGGGUACCGGUACAGAGUCAAUGUGGAGGCUUUAUACAGGGGGUACCGGUACAGAGUCAAUGUGGAGGCUAUAUACAGGGGGUAUCGGUACAGAGUCAGUGUGGAGGCUAUAUACAGGGGGUACUGGUACAGAGUCAAUGUGGAGGCUAUAUACAGGCGGAGUACCGUUACAGAGUCAGUGUGGAGGCUAUAUACAGGGGGAUACUGGUACAGAGUCAGUGUGGAGGCUAUAUACAGGGGGGUACCGGUACAGAGUCAGUGUGGAGGCUAUAUACAGGGGGGGUACCGGUACAGAGUCAGUGUGGAGGCUAUAUACAGGGGGGUACCGGUACAGAGUCAGUGUGGGGGCUAUAUACAGGGGUACCGGUACAGAGUCAAUGUGGAGGCUAUAUACAGGGGGUACCGGUACAGAGUCAGUGUGGAGGCUAUAUACAGGGGGUACCGGUACAGAGUCAGUGUGGAGGCUAUAUACAGGGGGUACCGGUACAGAGUCAAUGUGGAGGCUAUAUACAGGGGGUACCGGUACAGAGUCAGUGUGGAGGCUAUAUACAGGGGGUACCGGUACAGAGUCAAUGUGGAGGCUAUAUACAGGGGGUACCGGUACAGAGUCAGUGUGGAGGCUAUAUACAGGGGGUACCGGUACAGAGUCAGUGUGGAGGCUAUAU